UCCUUUUUCUGAUAAGUGAUAGAAAUUAU
rnacentral:piRNA from 1 species